rnacentral:rRNA from 1 species
CCUACGGGAGGCAGCAGUGGGGAAUUUUGGACAAUGGGCGCAAGCCUGAUCCAGCCAUGCCGCGUGAGUGAAGAAGGCCUUCGGGUUGUAAAGCUCUUUCGGUGGGGACGAAAAGGUUCGUGCUAAUACCACGGACUAAUGACGGUACCCGAAGAAGAAGCACCGGCUAACUACGUGCCAGCAGCCGCGGUAAUACGUAGGGUGCAGGCGUUAAUCGGAAUUACUGGGCGUAAAGCGUGCGCAGGCGGUUUGUUAAGACAGAUGUGAAAUCCCCGGGCUUAACCUGGGAACUGCGUUUGUAACUGGCAAGCUAGAGUGUGGCAGAGGGGGGUAGAAUUCCAGGUGUAGCAGUGAAAUGCGUAGAUAUCUGGAGGAAUACCGAUGGCGAAGGCAGCCCCCUGGGUUAACACUGACGCUCAUGCACGAAAGCGUGGGGAGCAAACAGGAUUAGAUACCCUGGUAGUCCACGCCCUAAACUAUGUCAACUGGUUGUCGGGGGAGCAAUCCCUUGGUAACGAAGCUAACGCGUGAAGUUGACCGCCUGGGGAUACGGCCGCAAGGUUAAAACUCAAAGGAAUUGACGG